CCUACGGGGGGCAGCAGUGAGGAAUAUUGGUCAAUGGUCGCGAGCCUGAACCAGCCAAGUCGCGUGAGGGAAGACGGUCCUAUGGAUUGUAAACCUCUUUUGUCGGGGAGCAAAAGACGCCACGCGUGGCGUUCCGAGAGUACCCGAAGAAAAAGCAUCGGCUAACUCCGUGCCAGCAGCCGCGGUAAUACGGAGGAUGCGAGCGUUAUCCGGAUUUAUUGGGUUUAAAGGGUGCGCAGGCGGUAUAUCAAGUCACCGGUAAAAUUGCGGGGCGCAACCCCGUCGAGCCGUUGAAACUGGGUUUCUUGAGUGAGUGAGAAGUAUGCGGAAUGCGUGGUGUAGCGGUGAAAUGCAUAGAUAUCACGCAGAACUCCGAUUGCGAAGGCAGCAUACCGGCGCUCAACUGACGCUUAUGCACGAAAGUGUGGGUAUCGAACAGGAUUAGAUACCCUGGUAGUC
rnacentral:rRNA from 1 species